rnacentral:rRNA from 1 species
CCCAGUGGGCGGGACGGGGUGAGUAACGCGUGGGUAUCUGUCUCUGGGUGGGGGAUAACCGUGGGAAACUACGGCUAAUACCGCAUGACACCUGAGGGUCAAAGGCGCAAGCCGCCUGGAGAGGAGCCCGCGUACGAUUAGCUUGUUGGCGGGGUAAUGGCCCACCAAGGCGACGAUCGUUAGCUGGUCUGAGAGGAUGACCAGCCACACUGGGACUGAGACACGGCCCAG